GACGAACCGCCCGAACGUUAUUCGGAAUCACUGGGCUUAAAGGGCGCGUAGGCGGGCCUGAAAGUCAGGGGUGAAAUCCCACGGCUCAACCGUGGAAGUGCCUCUGAUACUUCAGGCCUCGAGGGAGGUAGGGGCGUGCGGAACUUCCGGUGGAGCGGUGAAAUGCGUAGAUAUCGUAAGGAAGACCAGUGGCGAAGGCGGGUCUCUGGACAGUUCCUGACGCUGAGGCACGAAGGUCAGGGGAGCAAACGGGG
rnacentral:rRNA from 1 species